GUGUGUGUGUGUGUGUGUGUGUGUGUGUGUUUGUUUCAAGCAAGUGUUGAGCUACGUGUUGGCCGCACCCCACUCAUUACUCAGCAGUGGGAAGCAAGCAGUGUACACUACCUGGCUCUGGUAAUCACUACCUGUCAAGACUCCGGGAGAUACGCCAUGUUCGUGUUGGGCGUGAGCAGAGUGGUGUUGCUGUGGUUGGUGUGGUGGUGUGGAGCCUCGCGGGGCGGCCAGCCUAGUGUCAUCUUGGUCGAGUCGCCACAGGGGAAUAUUUUCGUAGUGGAGAACACUGGAUUCGCUCAAUAUGAUGCCUUCCUUGCUUUUACCACCAGUAGCGCCUGCAGCUGCAAGAUCCAGUGUAUGGUGAGAGAAGAGUGCGCAACUUGGUCUCGGAGGAUGAGCGAUAAUCAGAGUGUGUGCGCGCUCUCUCGAAGGGGCCCU